GACGAAGGGGGCUAGCGUUGUUCGGAAUUACUGGGCGUAAAGCGCACGUAGGCGGAUUUGUAAGUCAGGGGUGAAAUCCCGGGGCUCAACCUCGGAACUGCCUUUGAUACUGCAAAUCUCGAGUCCGAUAGAGGUGGGUGGAAUUCCUAGUGUAGAGGUGAAAUUCGUAGAUAUUAGGAAGAACACCGGUGGCGAAGGCGGCCCACUGGAUCGGUACUGACGCUGAGGUGCGAAAGCGUGGGGAGCAAACAGG
rnacentral:rRNA from 1 species